rnacentral:rRNA from 1 species
CUGGCUCAGAACGAACGCUGGCGGCGCGUCUUAAGCAUGCAAGUCGAACGGCAAGAGGUAGCAAUACCUCCUAGAGUGGCGGACUGGUGAGUAACACGUGGGUGACAUACCCUUCAGAUGGGGAUAGCUAUUAGAAAUAGUAGAUAAUACCGAAUACGAGCACAGGGGUUAGAGAUCUGUGAGGAAAGGAGCUAAGGCUCCGCUGAAGGAAUGGCCUGCGGCCCAGUUAGCUAGUUGGUGAGGUAAGAGCCCACCAAGGCGAUGAUGGGUAUCCGGCCUUAGAGGGUGAACGGACACAUUGGGACUGAGAUACGGCCCAGACUCCUACGGGAGGCAGCAGCUAAGAAUAUUCCGCAAUGGACGAAAGUCUGACGGAGCGACGCCGCGUGGAUGAAGAAGGCCGGAAGGUUGUAAAAUCCUUUUGAAACUGAAGAAUAAGCGUUGUAGGGAAUGACAGCGUGGUGACAGUAGGUUUUGAAUAAGCAACGGCUAAUUACGUGCCAGCCGCUGC